rnacentral:tRNA from 1 species
GGGGAUUUAGCUCAGUGGCAUAAGCACCUGCUUCAAAAGCACAAGGUUGUGAGUCAAUCCCCA